UGGGACUGUAUAAGUGCCUUCAAACGUAUGUGGAUUAACGGAAGACUUGAUAAUGAAUUGAGUGUGUUUGGAUGGAGAUAAACGGAGAAUAAAUGGAGCUUAUGUUUUUCCGUUGCGGGGUCGCGAACGACUGUUCGGUGGAGUCGAGCUCCCUAAAGAAACAGAAGCCAAGUGUCCAUUAAGAGGGGAGAAAGGCGUCAAUUGCUAUAAUGCCUUUAAACAAUAUCAUAAUCAUGUCGAUUUUCCCACUUGCAACCAGAGAAAAAUAUUUAUUAAUCAGUCGAAUGAAGUCUAUGAAAGCGCCUUAUCUGAACUGAUUGGCGAUUUAUACGUUCUAUCAAAUGAUUAAAUUGAAUACAUCUGAAAUAAUUUGAAGACAGGACCCAGUUCAAGUUUUUAAGCGCUGGUGGUGAAAUUAUUGCGAUGGACUUUCAAAAUAGAAACAGUUGUGCACAAAAACGGUCGGCCAACAGGUGCGUUCGACUACAACACGCCAUAUGUGAAGACCAGUUGUUGCAAGGUUGCACCAAAAUCGUAGGGCACUAAUCACACUCAAUCACAAUGUUUAAAUUUUGCAACGAGAUUCGAAACGCUGGGAAUGCACCGCAUUUCACCAAGGGCAACGUCUUUUCUAUUUAUUUUUAUUAGAAUUUCCAUUAUUCGCUAACUUUCAACAAUAUUCUCGAAUACAACACGAUAUGCUAAUUGAAUUGAAAAAUAAAUUGACUUAAGCCUGGCAUUUCUGCAGCUCUACUAAUUCUCGAUGGUACGCAAUGAGUUUUAAACAGA